rnacentral:misc_RNA from 1 species
GUAUAUGUUCUGGGUUCAAGGCUACAAACUCAAUGAGGCUCUAGAAUUACUUCUGAGCAAACGCUCAUGCUUCCCAAAAAUAGAUGCUAUUAAAAAUGCAACAGCCGAUAUUCUUUUAGGAUUUAGAAAGAAGCCUGUCACUUUAUCAUGGGAAGAUGACCAAUGCUCAACUGUAGAAGUAUCUGGACUUGAUAUUGGAUGGGGC